rnacentral:rRNA from 1 species
UACGAAGGGUGCAAGCGUUGCUCGGAAUUAUUGGGCGUAAAGGGUUGGUAGGUGGUCUUGUUUGUCUAAGGUGAAAUCCCAGGGCUUAACCCUGGAAGUGCCUUAGAAACGGCAAGACUAGAGUUCUAGAGGGGUUUGUGGAAUUCCCGGUGUAGCGGUGAAAUGCGUAGAGAUCGGGAGGAACACCAGCGGCGAAGGCGGCAAACUGGAUAGACACUGACACUCAACAACGAAAGCGUGGGGAGCAAACAGG